rnacentral:lncRNA from 1 species
GGGAGAGGCCAUGGUCUGCUUUACCUUUCCCUUCCUUUGAAGGAGCCCACUUUAUCGUUUCCUAGCCCUGGGAUGCAAGCCCCGUAGCCCCACUGUUACCUCUGUGGGACAUGACUGUGGUUCAAUCACACUUGGGAGCAAAGGUGGCAGUAGAGAGGUGCCCUGCUACCAGGGCGGAGGGCUGCCCUUCCUAGGACAAGAAGCACCACCAGUCCCUGUUGCAAAGUAUCAUGGAGAGGGGAUCCUGGAAAAUGUUGAAGAGGGGGAGAAGGAUUCAUCGGCACAGACAGACACAUUUUUGCAGAGGCAGAUGACCAGUUCUCCACAAAGCGUCCAGAGCUUUCAUGAAAUUCCUCUGUGAGAAAAGAAUUUCAGGCUGUAAUGGAGGAGUCAGAUCUCUACUGGUUCCAGCCUUCUCAUUGACUCAAUGCUUAUGGAGCGUGCAUAUAAUGGUUUUUCC